rnacentral:lncRNA from 1 species
GUUCCUAGCCAUGUGGGAUCGCUCUGUCAUCCCUUUUCAAGGCUGAAGGAAUAUCACGGAGCUGGAAGAGGAGGCUGUAGAACUCUGUAGUCUGAGUAUGCCGUGUCCACAGCAGUCAUCUAGUGAGGAGUGGCUGGCUCCCACAGCACAGAAGGAAAAAAGGGAAAGCUCUGGGGCCAUCAGGAUCUCCCUUCUCUUCCAGAUCAGUUACCAGUUACCCUCAGGCAACAUACUUGUGCUAAAGAAAAGCCAUGAAGAAAAGCAGCCUUCCUUGGAGA